GCCGAUGUAGCUCAGCUGGCUAGAGCAGCUGAUUUGUAAUCAGCAGGUCGGGGGUUCGAGUCCCUCCAUCGGCUCAA
rnacentral:tRNA from 1 species